rnacentral:rRNA from 1 species
CGGACCCGACUGCUCUCGGAUUGAGACUAAGCCAUGCGAGUCAACCCGCAAGGGUGGCAUACGGCUCAGUAACACGUAGUCAACCUACCCUAAGGACGUGGAUAACCCUGGGAAACUGGGGAUAAACCACGAUAGGUCAUAACUCCUGGAAUGGGUUAUGGCUCAAAUCUAUAUGGCCUUAGGAUGGGACUGCGUCCGAUCAGGUUGUUGGUGGGGUAAUGGCCCACCAAGCCUAUAACCGGUACGGGCUCUGAGAGGAGGAGCCCGGAGAUGGGCACUGAGACAAGGGCCCAGGUCCUAUGGGACGCAGCAGGCGCGAAACCUCCGCAAUGGGCGAAAGCCUGACGGGGUUAAUUCGAGUGGCUCCUGCUGAAGGAGUCUUUUAUCAGCUGUAAAUAGGCUGAUGAAUAAGGGGUGGGCAAGCCUGGUGUCAGCCGCCGCGGUAAUACCGGCACCCCGAGUGGUCGGGAUGAUUAUUGGGUCUAAAGCAUCCGUAGCCGGUGUAUUAAGUCCUACGUUAAAUCCACUUGCUUAACAAGUGGGCUGCGUGGGAUACUACUACACUAGGAGGCGGGAGAGGCGAGAGGUAUUCCACGGGUAGGGGUAAAAUCCACUGAUCCGUGGAGGACCACCAGUGGCGAAGGCGUCUCGCCAGAACGCGCUCUACGGUGAGGGAUGAAAGCUGGGGGAGCAAACCGGAUUAGAUACCCGGGUAGUCCCAGCUGUAAACGAUGUAGGCUCGGUAAUGGAUUGGCUCCGGGCUAAUCCAGUGCCGCAGGGAAGCCGUUAAGCCUACCACCUGGGGAGUACGGCCGCAAGGCUGAAACUUAAAGGAAGUGUCGGGGGAGCACCACAAAGUGUGAAGCCUGCGGUCAUGU